rnacentral:tRNA from 1 species
GCCAGCAUAGCUCAGUUGGUAGAGCAAUCGCUUUGUAAGCGAAAGGUCGGGGGUUCGAAUCCUCUUGCUGGCUCAA